GAUGAACGCUGGCGGCGUGCCUAAUACAUGCAAGUCGAGCGAACGGACGAGAAGCUUGCUUUUCUGAUGUUAGCGGCGGACGGGUGAGUAACACGUGGAUAACCUACCUAUAAGACUGGGAUAACUUCGGGAAACCGGAGCUAAUACCGGAUAAUAUUUUGAACCGCAUUGUUCAAAAGUGAAAGACGGUCUUGCUGUCACUGAUAGAUGGAUCCGCGCUGCAUUAGCUAGUUGGUAAGGUAACGGCUUACCAAGGCAACGAUGCAUAGCCGACCUGAGAGGGUGAUCGUCCACACUGGAACUGAGACACGGUCCAGACUCCUACGGGAGGCAGCAGUAGGGAAUCGUACGCAAUGGGCGAAAGCCUGACGGAGCAACGGCGAGUGAGUGAUGAAGGUCUUCGGAUCGUAAAACUCUGUUAUUAGGGAAGAACAUAUGUGUAAGUAACUGUGCACAUCUUGACGGUACCUAAUCAGAAAGCCACGGCUAACUACGUG
rnacentral:rRNA from 1 species